rnacentral:rRNA from 1 species
CCUGGCGGUGGGGUUUCUGAAGCCGCAUCUGCCGUUCGUGGCGCCGAAGAAGUACUUCGGUCUGUACCCGCCGGCGCAGGUUCGGCUGGCGGACAACCCGUUUCCGCCGAAGGGCGUUCCGAGGAUCGCCAUGACGAACUGGGGCGAAUUGCGGGCGUACUUCGACAUCCCGAAGAAGGGGGCGCUGGCGGAUGCGAAGGCGUUGGAACUGAGGCGGGCGUACUACGCGGCGACGAGUUACGUCGACGCGCAGAUCGGUCGCGUCCUGGCCGAGCUGGAUCGGCUGAAUCUGCGGGACAAGACGGUGGUGGUGUUGUGGGGCGAUCACGGGUGGCAGUUGGGGGAUCAUGG